GACGAACGCUGGCGGCGUGCCUAAUACAUGCAAGUCGAGCGGACCUCUUCGGAGGUCAGCGGCGGACGGGUGAGUAACACGUGGGCAACCUGCCUGUAAGACUGGGAUAACACCGGGAAACCGGUGCUAAUACCGAAUAAUCCUUUUCCUCUCAUGAGGAAAAGCUGAAAGUCGGUUUCGGCUGACACUUACAGGUGGGCCCGCGGCGCAUUAGCUAGUUGGUGAGGUAACGGCUCACCAAGGCGACGAUGCGUAGCCGACCUGAGAGGGUGAUCGGCCACACUGGGACUGAGACACGGCCCAGACUCCUACGGGAGGCAGCAGUAGGGAAUCUUCCACAAUGGACGAAAGUCUGAUGGAGCAACGCCGCGUGAGCGAUGAAGGCCUUCGGGUCGUAAAGCUCUGUUGUUAGGGAAGAACAAGUACCGGAGUAACUGCCGGUACAUUGACGGUACCUAACCAGAAAGCCACGGCUAACUACGUGCCAGCCGCCGCCGUAACAC
rnacentral:rRNA from 1 species